rnacentral:rRNA from 1 species
CAGCAGCCGCGGUAAUACGUAGGUCCCGAGCGUUGUCCGGAUUUAUUGGGCGUAAAGGGAGCGCAGGCGGUCUAGUAAGUCUGAAGUUAAAGGCAUUGGCCCAACCAAUGUAUGCUUUGGAAACUGUUAGACUUGAGUGCAGGAGGGGAGAGUGGAAUUCCAUGUGUAGCGGUGAAAUGCGUAGAUAUAUGGAGGAACACCGGUGGCGAAAGCGGCUCUCUGGUCUGUCACUGACGCUGAGGCUCGAAAGUGUGGGUAGCGAACAGGAUUAGAUACCCCCGUAGUCCCUGUCUCUUAUACA